GUGCUAAAAUAAUGAAGGAUAAAUAGUUAAUGAAAAUUUAAUGAUUACUAGAACUUUAUAAAUGAGAACAAAUGUAGAUACAUAAAUAAACGAAAGCUCCAAAUCUUCUAACAGAUAAGUCUGUCACUUAGUUUAACAAUGCAUUGAAUUGAAGUUAGUGGAAAGAUCUUUAUUUAGAGAAUGUGAUCAAACAACCUAACUAUCUUACAUAAAACUAGAGUCAUUUUUCAAAUAAAAGAUGUACCUCGAGAACUUAUUUUGUGUAUUUGACACAACAUUUUUAGUAAUGCAUAUGAAGCUAACAUCAUUAAGGGAAAAAGUAGUACUGAAACUUGUUAAAACUCUAAAUCAUUUUACUUAAAUUAGAUUUUCAUUCUAUAUUUAGCUAGAAAAGCAUAUGAACGCAUAUCUAACACACACUAUACAUCCAUAGUACUUGACAGCUCAAAUAGUUACGCCAGAUAACUACCCAAUUCUGCUAACGUGAUUUAAAGACCACCAUAAUGUAUAUGGUGGACUGUUUGGAAGGAGGGGAAUGCUAGAAGCUUUGGAGAUAGGAGUAGCAAAGUUCAGUAGAUCAAAACUGAUUGUAUUUUGCUUUGUGUUUUUGGUGUACAAAUAGAACUCCUCUAUAGAUGCAGUAGAUAUCUUGGAAGUUUGAGCCAUGCUAGUAUUAGGAGUUUUUUUUUGUUUUCUUUCCAUCUUAUUACUAGCUGUAAAGUUGGUUUUUAGCACUAUCUAAGUGCUAGUUAGAUAAUGCAAAUGUUGCUUUCUCAAAAAAAUAAAAAUAAAAAAAAGGGACCGCAAAGCCUAGCUAUCAUUUUAACGAACUCUAACUUACUAUAAUGCCAGAUGUAUAGUUAUAUCUAGUUCACCCUAAUUUAUGUAACAGGGAGGGAUACAACAAAAUCCCCUCUCAGGUAACCAAGAACAAAGAAUCCAUAACUAAUUCAUACAAAAGUAAUAUCAAGUUAAAAGUUUCUCAUUACCUAUUCCGCGGGAAAAAAUGAUAAGAAGUUUCUAUUACCUAGGCAGGGGAAGUCCUAUAUUUUCCAUGGCCUGCUGACAAUCAUGACUACAGCAAGGUGCUUCAGUCCCAAAUUGUCAAAAGUACCAGUGCCCAGUUCUAUUUCUAUUUCACAAAAAGGUUCGACAACAAAAACAUUUCAUAAUGUAGGCAUUGGGAAAUACUCGAGACAAUUAGUAUCCACACAAAUUAAGGUGGGAGGCAAUUGUAAGAAAUACAGUGGUUGUGGAUCUGUCAUCAGGUGAAUAGAAAUACUGGCAUGCAGAGGGUAGAGUGUACGCAGAUCAUACCACUACCUCAAGUAGAGAGGCUGUUUCCGAUAGACCCCCGGCUUAGAACCGAUAACAGUAUAACAAACACAAAAGAUAAGUGCAUAUAAACUAGUACGGCAUGCAAAAUAAACUAACACCACUAGCCACAAGAUAAUACUACAGCCACAGGAUAACACUAAGAACUAUCUAACCGAAAUCAUAGACAUCACAUAACAUCACGAACAAUCUCAAGGAAAAUACGAAACAAAAAGAUAAGGUUAUGCCACAAUCUCACACUUCUGACUGAUUAUUUAAAGAUAUAUUCCUCUUCUGUGCCAUUUUGGCUAAAUACAAACUCAACUGCACUCUGUUAACUCAAUACACUUGAACAACAAUAACAACCGAAAUCAUAGACAUCACAUAACAUCACGAACAAUCUCAAGGAAAAUACGAAACAAAAAGAUAAGGUUAUGCCACAAUCUCACACUUCUGACUGAUUAUUUAAAGAUAUAUUCCUCUUCUGUGCCAUUUUGGCUAAAUACAAACUCAACUGCACUCUGUUAACUCAAUACACUUGAACAACAAUAACAACAUACCCAAUAUAUUUCCACGAAGU
rnacentral:lncRNA from 1 species